UACGUAGGGGGCAAGCGUUGUCCGGAAUCAUUGGGCGUAAAGCGCGCGUAGGCGGCCCGGUAAGUCCGUUGUGAAAGUCAAAGGCUCAACCUUUGAACGCCGAUGGAUACUGCCGGGCUAGAGUCCGGAAGAGGCGAGUGGAAUUCCUGGUGUAGCGGUGGAAUGCGUAGAUAUCCGGAGGAACACCGGUGGCGAAGGCGGCUUCCUGGACCGACACUGACGCUGAGGCGCGAAAGCUAGGGGAGCAAACGGG
rnacentral:rRNA from 1 species